UACGGAGGGUGCAAGCGUUAUCCGGAUUUACUGGGUUUAAAGGGCGCGUAGGCGGGCGUUUAAGUCAGAGGUCAAAUCCCGGGGCUCAACCUCGGAACUGCCUUUGAUACUGGACGCCUAGAGUAUGGGAGAGGUGAGUGGAACUCCGAGUGUAGAGGUGAAAUUCGUAGAUAUUCGGAAGAACACCAGUGGCGAAGGCGACUCACUAGCCCAUUACUGACGCUGAGGCGCGAAAGCGUGGGGAGCAAACAGG
rnacentral:rRNA from 1 species